rnacentral:rRNA from 1 species
AUUGAACGCUGGCGGCAGGCCUAACACAUGCAAGUCGAGCGGAGCGGCGGACGGGUGAGUAAUGUCUGGGAAAAUGCCUGAUGGGGGGGGAUAACUACUGGAAACGGGCGCUAAUACCGCAUACUAUCAGAUGAGCCAAGGUCGGAUUAGCGAGUUGGUGGGGUAAAGGCCUACAAAGGCGAAGAGCCGGAACUGGUCUGAGAGGAUGAUCAGUCACACUGGAACUGAGACACGGUCCAGACUCCUACGGGAGGCAGCAGUGGGGAAUAUUGGACAAUGGGCGAAAGCCUGAUCCAGCCAUGCCGCGUGUGUGAAGAAGGUCUUCGGAUUGUAAAGCACUUUAAGUUGGGAGGCGUUACCAACAGAAUAAGCACCGGCUAACUUCGUGCCAGCCGCCGCGGUAAUUC